rnacentral:other from 1 species
GUGCUCCUGCAAUGUUGGUGAUGGCAAACUUUGUUUGAGCCAACAUUCUAUUUGAUGGGAGUCUGAGUCGUUCCGCGGUGAGCAAACUUUUCCUGCGGGAACUUGAUUGCCUGAUGCGGAGCGCAGGAUACCCCCUUGGCAACAAGGUUCAAAUAGAUGAUGCCACACGGCAGCGCGGGGGCUUU